AGGGUUGUGGCUCAGUGGUAGAGCGCCUGCCUGGCAUGCAUGAGGCACUGGGUUCGAUCCUUAGCACUCCGU
rnacentral:tRNA from 1 species